GUAAGCGUGCGCAGGCGGUUAUACAAGACAGGCGUGAAUCCCCGGGCUUAACCUGGGAAUGGCGUCUGUGACUGUAUGACUAGAGUGUGUCAGAGGGGGGUAGAAUUCCACGUGUAGCAGUGAAAUGCGUAGAUAUGUGGAGGAAUACCAAUGGCGAAGGCAGCCCCCUGGGAUAACACUGACGCUCAUGCACGAAAGCGUGGGGAGCAAACAGGAUUAGAUACCCUGGU
rnacentral:rRNA from 1 species